rnacentral:rRNA from 1 species
CCUACGGGACGCAGCAGUGGGGAAUAUUGCACAAUGGGGGAAACCCUGAUGCAGCAACGCCGCGUGAGUGAAGAAGUAUUUCGGUAUGUAAAGCUCUAUCAGCAGGGAAGAAAAAAGACGUUACCUGACUAAGAAGCCCCGGCUAACUACGUGCCAGCAGCCGCGGUAAUACGUAGGGGGCAAGCGUUAUCCGGAUUUACUGGGUGUAAAGCGAGUGCAGGCGGUUCAAU